CUGAAAAAGGUGGUGUAAAGGUGGUGUAAAAGACUAAAAGGGUAGUGUUAAUGUAUUGUGGUUACUUUUACUAAUCUUGCACUAACUAUUUGGCAUUAUUUUAUUAGGUGAAAAUUCAGAAAAUAAAUAUAUAAAUAAAAUGGAAAAUAAAUAAACUGGAAAUAAAUAAAUAAAUAAAUAAGUAAAUAAACUGGAAAUAAAUAAACUGGAAAAUAAAUAAACUGAAAAUUCAAAAAUAAAUAAAUAAAUAAACUUGAAAUUCAGAAAAUAAAUAAAUAAAUAAACUGAAAAUUCAGAAAAUAAAUAUAUAAAAAAAUGGAAAAUAAAUAAACUGGAAAUAAAUAAAUAAACUGAAAAUUCAGAAAAUAAAUAAAUAAACUGGAAAUAAAUAAAUAAAUAAAUAAAUAAAAUGGAAAUAAAUAAACUAAAAAUUCGAAAAUAAAUAAAUAAAUAAACUGAAAAUUGAGAAAAUAAAUAAAUAAACUGGAAAUAAAUAAAUAAAUAAGUAAAUAAACUGGAAAAUAAAUAAACUGAAAAUUCAAAAAUAAAUAAAUAACUAAACUUGAAAUUCAGAAAAUAAAUAAAUAAAUAAACUGAAAAUUCAGAAAAUAAAUAAAUAAAUAAACUGGAAAAUAAAUAAACUGGAAAUAAAUAAAUAAAUAAAUAAGUAAAUAAACUGAAAAUUCAAAAAUAAAUAAAUAAAUAAACUUGAAAUUCAGAAAAUAAAUAAAUAAAUAAACC
rnacentral:lncRNA from 1 species